UACGGAGGUGGCAAGCGUUGCUCGGAAUCACUGGGCGUAAAGGGCGCGUAGGCGGGGAGGUAAGUCGGGUGUGAAAUCCCUCGGCCCAACUGAGGAACUGCGCCCGAGACUGCUUCUCUUGAGUCCCGGAGAGGAAGAUGGAAUUCCCGGUGUAGCGGUGAAAUGUGUAGAGAUCGGGAGGAACACCGGUGGCGAAAGCGGCAAACUUGACCCUUCCUGACGCUGAGGCGCGAAAGCUAGGGGAGCAAACGGG
rnacentral:rRNA from 1 species